GGCUCACCUGCACCUUGGUUAAAAGCCCCAAGCUUAUUCCAACAUGCAGUGUCUGUCAGGAAGCUCAAACUGAGAAUAAAAUUCCUCUGUGACCUUACUGCCCACUGAAAUUGCCAGAUGAGUGAAGAAAUGUCAAUUGAAACAAAGAGUGGCUAAAGGGAAAGCCUGUAUUAAUUCAAGUUCUACAGACUCUUACAACAAGUAGGGAAAAGAAUUUUAACCCCGGUGUUCUGAUGAAAUUCCAGACUCUGUAAUUACAUUAGCUCUGAAGUCCACCUGCAGUUUUAAUAUAAAAAGCUGUUCUGCUUCGAGCUGUCGCCUGCCAUGCAGUUACGCUGCUCAGUGUCAAACAGGUGCUGGAGUUCAUCAGACAGGUAAAAGGCUUCAUGAGGGCUACAAGGACUGCUGAGGAGCUGCAGUGCCACUCCCUUGCUGUUCAUUCCUGCCUUGAGGUGGAACUAAAGAUCAUCAGCCGACUCAUAUGGAGAACUGUGAUGCUGUCUCUUCCAGAGGCUCAUUAGCACUCACUCAGCAAGGUUCCCCAGCUUUGCCUGUACUCUUUCGAAGCAGCAACCAGAUUGCAUUUAGGUGUGCAGGACCACCACUAGGGAAAAGAGGGCUGGACUCUUGUCUUGGACUGCCAUCAUGCAGCCUCUCCUGUGUGACAGUAUAAAACAGCAAGGACAAGGGCUGGAUGCUGAUGGACUCAAAGCUUUAGACCCAGAUUUACAGCAACAUGGUGUGCUGUUGAUUUCUCACAAAGAAGUCAUCAAAAACACAGCUCUAAGAAGCUUCUGCACUGAAAGAAAUGACGUGUUUGCAGCUCAGAAGCUAAGGAAGCUGCCAAAAACCAUAAGGAGAUGGGAUGUAUACACAGAGGACUAGAAGGGAGAGCUGUAGUUCUGUCUGCAGUCACCAGAAGAACAGGGAAGGAUGGCUGCAGAGUACCAACUACCAUGUGGACACACGGAUCUCUUCUAAACUGGAAGUGGGACUGAGAAACACCCAGUUUCACUGUGCCCUGAAGGCAGUAUGCACUGUAGCUUUGUUUAGAAAGUGUCAGUGUAGGCCUUUUGUUAGAAAAGGUGAGAGAAAGUAAUAGGAAGUAUCAGUAGUAUUCCUUCAGACAUAAGUGUGUAUGGAGAAAGGAGUCUGUGUGCCAAUGCAAGCUCUUGCUGUUAAAGAGAGAUGUCUUUUACACACUUAGUGCAGGAAGAUGCAGGAAAAUUAUCUUGGUGUGCUGGGUCUGUUUCACAGGUCAGUGGGACAGGAAGGUGAGGCCGUGACCUCCUCUCUAGCCCAAGUUACUCUGUGGACUGUGCAGUCUUUGCAGCACGUGGAAGAAUGUCAUCAUAACCCAACAUCUGUUGGUCAACUGUUUGCAUAGCUCCUUCCUAACACUGGCUUUAGUGGGGUGAUUAGGGUUAACAUCCUCAUCUGGUAGCAGGACCUUUUGCUUUAUGAUAUGAGAAGGUGUCCAGCUCUGCUGAGGAGCUUCACACAGACUACAGUACACAAAGAGCAGCUACCUCUUCAUCCAACCUGGGCACAAUCAUAAUAGUACUUCUGGUUAAGAGAGUAGUCAGAAAAGUAUUUGAGACUGUUGUCUUAACCAGAGUCACUUUUAAUUGUGACCUGAUUUUGAAAGGUUUGGGGCACCCUUCAGAGGAAGUUUAAGAUGUAACAGCCAUAGGUAGUCACUGUCUUUAUGGAGUUAAGAGAUUAACACGGAGAUAGUAAUUUUACAAAGAAUUAAAAAUAAUUGUUUGCAAUGAUUAAAAGGACAUUUAUUUGACAGUGUCCCCUAAAAUUGUCUAUGUGAUUACCCAUUUUACAGAUGCAAUUUCUGGUCUAACAUUUUUGCUAUCAUAAUCAACUGACUGCAAUUAGUGAGGAAGCAUGAGAGUUAUUUAGACCACACAAGUAAGGCAGUUAGCUUGCUGGCCACUAAGAUUAGUCCUUGAAAAAUGGCAUGAAUACAAACAUGAGGGUACAAAUAUUUUUAUUGCCUCUUUACUCUGUUUUAUUUUUCCUUCUCUUUCCUCCCUCCUUCUUCCAAGACGGAAAAGUAGAUGUAAGCCUCUGCUGAGGCACAGCUGAAGUUAAAAAACAAACAAUAACAACAACAAAAACACAAAGUAACAUCAAAAAGACCAACAAAACAAACAAAAAACAACUUCUUAAUUCACUGCAGCAUUUGUGCAUAACCAAGACGUUAUGUUUCAUGUUAUGUGGUACAAUCACUGAUCCCUGAGGAGUUCACACCUUGUGUGUUCUUCCCUUUCAAACUGUUAACAUUUUACCAAUCCCAAGUGAAUACAUAAAUCUCUGGGACGUUUUGAGUGUGGUACCAUUUUUUAGACUUUGCCAGUGAUUGGGCUGAGCAAAACUGUAUUCUUCCUUAUUCAUAGGGCCACACACAUUCUCGUUUUGAAAACAAUUUCAAUGUGUAAUGGAAACAUUAAGAUUUGAUGCAAAAUGGAAUAGUCGUGUUACCUCCAUGCAGUAGCUCCAUGUUCCUCACAUCACCUCAAAAUUCUGUCACUUGCUAUGUGACAGAACUGUGGCCUUGCUUUGUGAGGGCAGGAUUAGUUGCUGGUUUGUUAGAUGCCCCAGUGCUAUGCACUUUUCAUUGUUUUUAAUAACUGUUGAACUGUGAGGAGAAGGUACUUUACAGGAAAAGAAAGCUAAGGAGGGAGAUACUUAAAUCAAAGUUCCCCAAGCAUAUAGUCUCUUCUCCUAGCAAGAAAAUAGAAAAUGUAUGCAAAUGUAGAAAAUUUGUGAAAACGUAUGAAAUAUCUUUUGGAAACUCAUUUGGAAUUAAGAUUUUCUUACUGAAAUCUUUAAAUUAAAGUGUUCAGGUUCAUAGUUCCGUAUGUUUAUGUGAUUUAAGGACUGGGAAGAUGCUAUCAGCAUCUUCACUUCCUACGGCCAAUAGCUCAGGAGGAAAAAUGAAUGAGUUAAUUGAAAUGUGUAUGUUGCUAUUAUUGAAUCCUGUUCUGUUUUAGGAAUCAAAUUACACAGAUCUUAACAUUGAGCAAUAGAUCUGCUGCAUAAACAAGCCAGCUACGGUGACUUCCUCGGCUACUUCAUAUAGUAUUAUAGGACAGAGCUGUUGUAUUUUUAUUCACUCCAGUCUUCAGAUUCUACUUAGUCCUUACAUCUUUUCCUGAAGUUCAUAAUUUUCUUUGAUUCUUCUUUAUUUCCUUCCACUUUUUCUGUACAUUUUCAUGCUGUAGUUGUUUCCAUCUCUUUCUCUUUGGUGUUACAGAAAUGGAUAAAACGUCUGGAUUCACAUCUUAGAGGCAUUUUAUAUCUGUAUAGCACUUUUAACUUCAGUAUAAUUGUUCCUGAUUUACUCUAAUGCAAAAGUGAUUGGAGCUAGGCUGCCAAAACAACUAUUAUAGUGUAGCUGUAGUAAUAUCAGUGUAGGUAAAGGAACUUGCUGGUUGCGUGUAUUUGAAACAGUUCUUUUCCCUGCCAAAAUCUUCAACUGUGGUAAAGAUCUAUAAAGAAGUACCAUCAAAUAAACAAACUUUAUUUGGGGCAAUUUGAAUGCAUGUGAAAAUCUUCCCCAACUCAUCUUGAUUUAGGCACCCAAAAUCAAUGGAUGGUUUUAGCAGCUCUCUUUUAGCAGACCUAUCUUAGACUAUCUAAAAAACAUGCAAAACUCAACUCAUACAAGCAUAUUGCUGAAUACUUGUUCAAGUGCCCCU